rnacentral:rRNA from 1 species
GACGUAGGGGGCCAGCGUUGUUCGGAAUUACUGGGUGUAAAGGGUUCGUAGGCGGUGUAGCAAGUCGGGAGUGAAAUCUCUGGGCUUAACCCAGAGGCUGCUUCCGAAACUGCUGUGCUUGGGUGUGGGAGAGGCGCGUGGAAUUCCCGGUGUAGCGGUGAAAUGCGUAGAGAUCGGGAGGAACACCAGUGGCGAAGGCGACCUUCUGGACCAGUACUGACGCUCAUGCACGAAAGCGUGGGGAGCAAACAAG